AAAAUGUUUGCCUUUUUAAAACUUUGGCCAUUUAGCCUGAUAGAGAGGGCACAAAGGGACUUUAGAAAUCACUUGGUCCAGUGAUCUUCAAAUCCUGAUGCUCAGGAUUCUGCAGAGGGCCUUGUGGAGAAGGACUUUGUGUUUUUGAGACAGGAUGCAUAUCAUUUGGGCAAAGUCUUCAGUGUAAAAGAUGUUAUCAAGGAGCAGAUUGCUGGCUUAUCAAGAAGAGGAAUGAAUGCUAGGGAAGUGGGAUAUAGAAGAUCAAAGAAGAAUUCUUUCUGAGAUGCCAACAGCACUAUCCCUACCAGUUCUAUAGGCUGUAUUCACUGAGAUGGCCAAACCAAAGAAGGAGAAAUCGUUGCUUCCUAGUGGCACUUAGGAGCAUCCAGCAGCACAUGACAUCUGCCUCUUCGCUUGAGAAGCCUCUAAGGUUGGAAAAUCUAUUCUGCUGUAGACUUUGGACACCUCCAUAUAUACCUACCUGUGUGAUAUUCCUUUAUGAAGAAAACAUAUUUCUAUUUAAUUCUUAGCUCAAUAUGAAAAUUUAUAAAAUAGAGUCAUAUAUUCAGGUCCCACAUUAAGCUAAUCUGAUAUUUGGACAUUUGGAUUUAAGAUAAAAUAGUGUUUUCAUUAUAAAAAUGUUCACCAACAGUUUACUUUAAAUAGUUACUCUUUCU
rnacentral:lncRNA from 1 species